GACGAACGCUGGCGGCGUGCCUAAUACAUGCAAGUAGAACGCACAGUUUAUACCGUAGCUUGCUACACCAUAAACUGUGAGUUGCGAACGGGUGAGUAACGCGUAGGUAACCUGCCUGGUAGCGGGGGAUAACUAUUGGAAACGAUAGCUAAUACCGCAUAAUAUUGAUUAUUGCAUGAUAAUUGAUUGAAAGAUGCUAUUGCAUCACUACCAGAUGGACCUGCGUUGUAUUAGCUAGUAGGUGAGGUAACGGCUCACCUAGGCGACGAUACAUAGCCGACCUGAGAGGGUGGUCGGCCACACUGGGACUGAGACACGGCCCAGACUCCUACGGGAGGCAGCAGUAGGGAAUCUUCGGCAAUGGACGAAAGUCUGACCGAGCAACGCCGCGUGAGUGAAGAAGGUUUUCGGAUCGUAAAGCUCUGUUGUAAGAGAAGAACGGGUGUGAGAGUGGAAAGUUCACACUGUGACGGUAACUUACCAGAAAGGGACGGCUAACUACGUG
rnacentral:rRNA from 1 species